rnacentral:rRNA from 1 species
UACGUAGGGCGCAAGCGUUGUCCGGAAUUAUUGGGCGUAAAGAGCUCGUAGGCGGCUUGUCACGUCGGGUGUGAAAGACCGGGGCUUAACCCCGGUUCUGCAUUCGAUACGGGCUAGCUAGAGUGUGGUAGGGGAGAUCGGAAUUCCUGGUGUAGCGGUGAAAUGCGCAGAUAUCAGGAGGAACACCGGUGGCGAAGGCGGGUCUCUGGGCAGUAACUGACGCUGAGGAGCGAAAGCGUGGGGAGCGAACAGG